CGGCGAGUGAAGCGGCAACAGCUCAAAUUUGAAAUCUGGCGUCUUAGGCGUCCGAGUUGUAAUUUGCAGAGGGAGUCUCGGAUUUAGGAUCGGCCCAAGUGCCUUGGAACAGGAUACCAAAGAGGGUGAGAGUCCCGUAUCCGGUCGAUACCGACGUCCGUGUGAGACCCCUUCGACGAGUCGAGUUGUUUGGGAAUGCAGCUCUAAAUGGGUGGUAAAUUCCAUCUAAAGCUAAAUACUGGCCAGAGACCGAUAGCGCACAAGUAGAGUGAUCGAAAGAUGAAAAGCACUUUGAAAAGAGAGUCAAACAGUACGUGAAAUUGUUGAAAGGGAAGCGUAUGUGGGCAGACUUGACCGCGGGAUUCAGCUCGUCUUCUGGCGGGUGUACUUUCUCGUGGGCAGGCCAGCAUCGGUUUCGGGGGUGAGACAAAGGCGUCGGGAAUGUGGCUCGCUUCGGUGAGUGUUAUAGCCCUUCGUGUAAUGUCACC
rnacentral:rRNA from 1 species